rnacentral:rRNA from 1 species
UACGUAGGGGGCGAGCGUUGGCCGGAAUCAUUGGGCGUAAAGCGCGUGUAGGCGGCCCGGUAAGUCCGCUGUGAAAGUCCAGGGCUCAACCCUGGGAUGCCGGUGGAUACUGUCGGGCUCGAGUCCGGAAGAGGCGAGUGGAAUUCCUGGUGUAGCGGUGAAAUGCGCAGAUAUCAGGAGGAACACCAAUGGCGAAGGCAGCUCGCUGGGACGUGACUGACGCUGAGACGCGAAAGCGUGGGGAGCAAACAGG